UACGAAGGGUGCAAGCGUUGCUCGGAAUUACUGGGCGUAAAGCGUGCGUAGGUGGUGAGUUAAGUCUGAUGUGAAAUCCCCGGGCUCAACCUGGGAAUGGCAUUGGAUACUGGCUCGCUAGAGUGCGGUAGAGGGUGGUGGAAUUCCCGGUGUAGCAGUGAAAUGCGUAGAGAUCGGGAGGAACAUCUGUGGCGAAGGCGGCCACCUGGACCAACACUGACACUGAGGCACGAAAGCGUGGGGAGCAAACAGG
rnacentral:rRNA from 1 species